GGAAAACUGAACUACAAACAACAACUUUUGAAUUCAAAGUUCAUCUGAACUAUAACCAUUUUGAAAAUGGCAGCCUCCAAUAUAUUUUUUUCUCAAGGGGCUGUAAUACUUAGAACUCAAGACUGUGUAAACAAAAGGUCCCCGCUUACUUGGGCAACCCAGUAUCAGGGUGGAGGAGGGCUUGGCUGUCGUCACUUAUCAAAACCGGACCUCUACCAGGUCGUGUGCAGAUGAAGUAACUGAUUUCGCCUUUGUAUUUCUGAGCUGGAACCUUGUCUUUGAUUUCUGGAGGCGGAGGCAGAGCUUCGAUGUCCUUUAUAUCCUGAAUUCCAAUAUCCUCCAUUAAUGAUUUAUCACCGAUGACGUAGCUGUUCAGAUCAGUUUCUGAAUUUGGAGGGAAGUGGAAGA
rnacentral:misc_RNA from 1 species